rnacentral:rRNA from 1 species
GAUGAACGCUGGCGGCGUGCCUAAUACAUGCAAGUCGAGCGAACAGACGAGGAGCUUGCUCCUCUGACGUUAGCGGCGGACGGGUGAGUAACACGUGGAUAACCUACCUAUAAGACUGGGAUAACUUCGGGAAACCGGAGCUAAUACCGGAUAAUAUAUUGAACCGCAUGGUUCAAUAGUGAAAGACGGUUUUGCUGUCACUUAUAGAUUGAUCCGCGCCGCAUUAGCUAGUUGGUAAGGUAACGGCUUACCAAGGCAACGAUGCGUAGCCGACCUGAGAGGGUGAUCGGCCACACUGGAACUGAGACACGGUCCAGACUCCUACGGGAGGCAGCAGUAGGGAAUCUUCCGCAAUGGGCGAAAGCCUGACGGAGCAACGCCGCGUGGGUGAUGAAGGUCUUCGGAUCGUAAAACUCUGUUAUUAGGGAAGAAGAAAGGUGUAAGUAACUAUGCACGUCUUGACGGUACCUAAUCAGAAAGCCACGGCUAACUACGUG